rnacentral:rRNA from 1 species
AGAGCGAACGCUGGCGGCAUGCUUAACACAUGCAAGUCGCACGGGCAGGGGAAACCCUGUCAGUGGCGGACGGGUGAGUAACGCGUAGGUAUCUAUCCUUGGGUGGGGGACAACCGUGGGAAACUACGGCUAAUACCGCAUGAUGACUGAGGUCCAAAGCUUGUGAGAGCGCCUGGGGCGGAGCCUGCGUACGAUUAGCUAGUUGGUGGGGUAAAGGCCUACCAAGGCUGCGAUCGUUAGCUGGUCUGAGAGGAUGAUCAGCCACAUUGGGACUGAGACACGGCCCAAACUCCUACGGGAGGCAGCAGUGGGGAAUAUUGGACAAUGGGCGCAAGCCUGAUCCAGCAAUGCCGCGUGUGUGAAGAAGGUCUUCGGAUUGUAAAGCACUUUCGACGGGGACGAUGAUGACGGUACCCGUAGAAGAACGCCCGGCUAACUUCGUGCCAGUAGCCGC